rnacentral:snRNA from 1 species
GUGCUCGUUUCGGCAGCACAUAUACUAAAACUGGAACGAUACAGAGAAGAUUAGCAUCGCCCCUGCACAAGGAUGACACACAAAUUCGUGAAGCAUUCCAUUAAAAA